GCCAGACUCCUACGGGAGGCAGCAGUGGGGGAUAUUGCACAAUGGGGGAAACCCUGAUGCAGCGACGCCGCGUGGGCGAAGAAGUAUUUCGGUAUGUAAAGCCCUAUCAGCAGGGAAGAAGAAAUGACGGUACCUGAGUAAGAAGCACCGGCUAAAUACGUGCCAGCAGCCGCGGUAAUACGUAUGGUGCAAGCGUUAUCCGGAUUUACUGGGUGUAAAGGGGGCGCAGACGGCGAUGCAAGCCAGGAGUGAAAGCCCGGGGCCCAACCCCGGGACUGCUCUUGGAACUGCGUGGCUGGAGUGCAGGAGGGGCAGGCGGAAUUCCUGGUGUAGCGGUGAAAUGCGUAGAUAUCAGGAGGAACACCGGUGGCGAAGGCGGCCUGCUGGACUGCAACUGACGUUGAGGCCCGAAAGCGUGGGGAGCAAACAGGAUUAGAUACCCCUGUAU
rnacentral:rRNA from 1 species